rnacentral:rRNA from 1 species
CAAAUGAAUUGACGGGGGCCCGCACAAGCGGUGGAGCAUGUGGUUUAAUUCGAUGCAACGCGAAGAACCUUACCUGGUCUUGACAUCCACGGAAGUUUUCAGAGAUGAGAAUGUGCCUUCGGGAACCGUGAGACAGGUGCUGCAUGGCUGUCGUCAGCUCGUGUUGUGAAAUGUUGGGUUAAGUCCCGCAACGAGCGCAACCCUUAUCCUUUGUUGCCAGCGGUCCGGCCGGGAACUCAAAGGAGACUGCCAGUGAUAAACUGGAGGAAGGUGGGGAUGACGUCAAGUCAUCAUGGCCCUUACGACCAGGGCUACACACGUGCUACAAUGGCGCAUACAAAGAGAAGCGACCUCGCGAGAGCAAGCGGACCUCAUAAAGUGCGUCGUAGUCCGGAUUGGAGUCUGCAACUCGACUCCAUGAAGUCGGAAUCGCUAGUAAUCGUGGAUCAGAAUGCCACGGUGAAUACGUUCCCGGGCCUUGUACACACCGCCCGUCACACCAUGGGAGUGGGUUGCAAAAGAAGUAGGUAGCUUAACCUUCGGGAGGGCGCUUACCACUUUGUGAUUCAUGACUGGGGUGAAGUCGUAACAAGGUAACCGUAGGGGAACCUGCGGUUGGAUCACCUCCUU